rnacentral:rRNA from 1 species
GUCUACGGCCAUACCACCUUGAACGUGUCCUAUCUCAUCUGAUCUCGGAAGCUAAGCUGGGUCAGGCCUGGUUAGUACUUGGAUGGAGAUCACUCUUGUAUGGCGAGGAAUGACU